AUAUUGUACGUGAAAUCAAUAAAUUAAAUGAAGUUAUUUAAUACGAAGCAAUUUUUAGUGUCGAACAUAAUUUCGGUUUACGUCUUUUUUUAAUGAAUGGAUGUUAUUUAUCAUUAUUUCUUAGCGUUUUAGAAUUGAAUAAAAACUAGACUUAAUAACGGAAGUUAAUAAAAACAUAAUAAAAUGGUCAUCCGUGCUGUCCCGUUGGAAGUUUGCUAAGGCUCCUUAAAGGAGCUGUUUCGGUAUACCAUGUGAAAUGUGAAAACGGUGGCAAGCUUAAUUACUUCUACAUGUUUUUGUAGCCGAGGUUACAGUGUGUUUAUAUGGAAACUGAUCCUGAGAAACAAUUACUGGACUACAUAACGUGAAUCUCACGAAUAUCAGCAUGUCCAUUGUUCUCUGACAGGUUUCCAUCGUGUCUUUUCUCCCAACUGACUUGCACGAACACUUAGGUUAAAAUAUAAACAGCGAAAAAUAACUUUCCCCUGCCCUUAUCAUUUCCUGCUGGGGUGCCGUGGAUGCAGAUGUCUGUCAGUGGCUGUUUUUGGUGUCUAAUUCCCCCUUCAUUAAACCUCCCAGGCUCUAAUACGCAGUGUGUUUUUAAUCUAAAAAUGCUCAAAUAUUCAGUUAAGCUGCCUUUAAGCAAACACACAUCAUUACAGCUGAGAGCCCUGUAUUGGAGUGUGUGAUUGUAUAUUGCUUGUGUAGAGUGUCAAGCGUGCGUGCUACACAUUGUGCCUGGAGAGAUUGAUGUUUUGUCAUCCACCUGCUUCUAAGCUGUAAAAGCAAGCGCAGCAAAGGCAAACCUACCCAGCUUCAAAAUCCAAACAAAGAAAUCUUAGUGGGCUGUUUACAUAUCUGUGGAAGGAUAUCUGGGCUUGUGUUGACGGGGUGCUAGAGUGGUUGAGAGAUCAGUCCCCGCACAAUGGACGAGUGGGAAAUCAAAGGCUGGAAUGCUGGGAGAACGCUGGGGAAACUGACAAAGGGGUGAGCUCUGGAAAGGAGGACGGAUACUUCCUGUUCCUGCUGGAGUGACCCGCAGGUCUGAGGAGGAGUGAGGGAGAGGAAGGCGGAGAAAGCGAGUUUUCUUCCAAGUACCCCGUGAAACCUACCUCUGAUUGGGACUCACUGAUGUAAUGGACAAACAAGAACAAAAUAUGUCGAUAUCCAUAUCAAAUCUCCCAGGUUCUUCUGCAGUGAUUUGCUGCCAUCUUGACCCUUGGACAGAGUGCAGAAGUGAAACCGGAAGUGCCAGUGCCAGUCAGAGGACGAUGGUGUAAGAGGAACUCAGAAGGCCGGGGACGAGAUUAAAAAGCGGAUUUGGGCGAUAACGCUCAAACUAUAAAUUACAGAAGCUCUAGUGGUGUCGGUUGAGCUCUGGAAGACCUGAGGGACACAACGGCUACCAUGCACAUCUGCAUCCUGUGUGUGGCUCGGGGGGGGGUUCCCAGCUGAACUUGGCUGAGGUCAGUGUCCGGUCAAAUGGAGUCGGGCCUGUGCGUCUGUGGGGGUGCAGAUGAAGUGGUCAGCGGUGUGACAGUUAGCGGGGAUUCUGACAGCCCCAGCUCCAGUGUGGAUUAGAGGUGCCGAUGUGUGCGAUGCCAGGAAAGGUCAGGAGAUGAUUUACUGAACAUUUAUGGAGGCUUUAUCUUCAGUCCUUGUCACCAAGUCGGGCGAUGCUUCAUAGUGGGUCGCCAAACAGACGUGGAAAAAGAGAGAGCGUGACAACGCCACAACCUCUGAGUUCCGCAAUGACACAGUCUUUAACCAGUCCAAGUCUUGGCAGGUACAGAACACUAAAGGACCAUUUUAUUUCUAAAUGAGUCUGAAUGGCGCACCACAAAGACUGGAAAUGCUGCUGCCCUUUCAUUUUAAAUGGCUAUCGGGUUCAUCCAGCACAUAAAGCCCAUCACAGAAAAUGAAUAUAAGCGGUUGGAGAAGAGACUGGAGAUGUGAACUGUCCCUCUGGAACGGGCUGCCAUUAAGUUUACUAAAAAUGUCUGAUGGUUUCGCCCAGACAGUUAGGAGAGCUGUGUCUGAACGGGAUCCAGAUCUCUGUUGUGUUGCUGGGCUGAAGAUGAAGACAUAACGUUUGAAUUUGUGCUGAAGUAUUGGAUGUACUCCCUACAAUGUCAACAUAGCAAAAAGCAAUUAAGGACCCUGGUGGAUCCAAUCAAGAAAUCACACGAAUGGCUGAAUAUGGUGGACUUGUGACAGAUCAGGGCAUUCAGGCUGGUGACAUUCCUCCUGGCGAGCAGAUCCAUCCUGGGCCGGGGGUGAAAAAUGCAGCGCCGCGCUGCUGCUCAGCUGCAGAUGAAUGGAGCUAUCUGUCUUGUCACGAGGGGUCGGCGGGAGAGGUUACAGCCCAACUGUACCUGGUCUCCGGUGCUGACGCCUGCACACCGCUUCCCUUUACAAGAGAAGAAACAGAAAAACAGAAGAGAGGGAGAGAGAGAGAAACAAAUCCUGCCCCAUCAAGCACUUCUUCAGACCCUCCAGAGCCCAUCUCACUUCCCAUCAUCCCGCGGUCCUGCUGCCCUGAGCGCAGGCUUUGACACAUCUAUAUGUUUUUCCUUCUGACCUUUCAACGUCCUUUCUGUCAGCGCCUGUAAACCAUAAGCUGAUGUAUGAGGGCAAUUUUUAGCGGUGCCACUUGUAUCUGAGUGAUUGCGCACACUUUACAUUUGGGGGGCCUGCCACCCUGCCACCUCCUCAACAUCUCUUUAUUUGCUUUGCUUGAGAUUGAGGCAGAGAAACUGAGGGGAAGGAAUGAAAAGAGUGGAUGGGGAGGGGGCGGUGGAGCCCAUUCUCAACAACCUCUGGGCAACAGGCCUGCACUUUAUCAGUCCGGCACGCCGAGCCCUCGGGCCAUGCCUGACCAAUCACACCUUGGAAACACGUACUUCAACAAACACCAACAUCAGUGAGACUGACUCCUGUAUAAAGGGUGUUUCAAUGGAAUACUGACUUUCACUGGAAUACUGAUCUCGCAUAUUAAUGUCUAUUCCAAAUACCUGCGAUUUCAAAGAGGCGACGUAAGAUAUUCAUUGUGAAUGAAAGAAAGACGGAAAGUAGGAAAUAAGAAAAGAAAGAAAGAAAGAAAGAAAGAGAGAGAGCAGGAUAUGCUGUUAACAUUGUUAUAAAUUGUGUUUAAUAAAUAAUUAAACUUUAACUGAUAAAGUUUAAAAUAUAAAUAUAAACUUAUUUUAUUACAACUGGAUGCCAAAGGAAUGUUUCUUAUUUGAAUUUAUUUGAACUUUUACUUUCAUUUAAAUGUAUACUAAAAUACCCAAAGCUUUGUAAGAAUAGUUUAUACAUAUAUAUGCAUAUAUACUGUAUAUAUACAGACAUAGUUAUACACAAAUAAAGCAGCACAAUUGCUAAAAGCUUUUUAAUAUAAAUAAAAAUAUUAUUAAAAACUAGUACCCCAAUGAUACUAAAAUGACACUGACAUAAUCACAAUAAAAAGUCAGCUGAGCAAACAACAUGACUAUAAUUGUCUUUAAUAAAAAUCAGUCUAUAAUAAAAAGACACUAUUUUUCUCAUAAAUUAUUUAAGUAAUUAUAUAUGUAUUUUAAAGAGAGUUAUAUUUGUGGAUUAAAAACCUGCUCAAAUCUGAUUGAAUGGUAUUUUGUACUGCAUUUCUUUUGUGUUAGCAUUGGUCCGUAACACAGUAGCUUUAUCUAAUAUGCUUUGCCAUUUCUCUCAGUGAUGUUCUAAUUCUUAUGUGUCUACAAUCUCCCAGCAGUGUCAACCAUAAUCCAAAGAAUAAAUGGUGCUGUUCAUGUCCUGUGGUAGAUGCUGCAGAAAACUUGUGUGCACAAGCAUCACAGCGUCCCAUUAUCCUCAGUGUUCGCCACUGUGAACACUUUCUGGUGACAUAUGUUUACUGUCACAUCCUGAACACUUGGGUCAGCUGCCUCUCUACUCUUCUCAUCACAAACUCUGACAGCCUAACAAAGCAGUCAUUAGACAGCCUCUCAGACACGACUAGCACACCCCCUUUGCUUUAGGGAAAACUAGCAUAUUAAAAUAAGAAGCAGAGAGGACUUAGCAUCCGCACAAAACAAACACACAAAACAAAACCUCCCUCAUCUCUUUCAGAUUUUCUUUCUUUCUUCCUUUCUUUCCCUCCCCGGGUUCUUGGUCUACCAUAUUUAUAAUUUAGCAUUAUGACAUUUUAAUUUGUGCAGCUUGAAAAUAGCACUGUCAGUGGUAUAAAUAUGGAGUACCACUCCUGUGAGAAAAGCCUUUAUACUUUAGUAGGUUAAAACUAAUACAAACAAAACUGGAAUUAUUAAUUAUAAAAAAUGAGUGAGAGAGAGAGAGAGAGAGAGAGAGAAAGAGAGAAAGGCAAAAUCCCCACAUUUCAAUAUCAUUUGCAUUUCGAUUUCAAGUCCGGAUUUUCAGCAACUUGACUGUUUUCCCUCCUCUUGCGUUCUCUCUAAUAUCUUGCAGGAUCAAAGGCUUUCAUUAGGUUUAACUCCUCCAAGCAUUGUUUGCCUCCCAGGACUACAACAAAGUUCCCUCGGUGUGCCAGAUUCAGAAGAAUAAAGAAUUAGUUAUUCCUGGACUAAUUUGACAUCAAACAGUGGAGAGGAAGAUAAAAGUGACAGUGGUGACCGGGGAAGAUUGGCCAUAUGUUUCUACAGGCCCCCAGGGCAGUCAAACUCGCACUCUCACACCUAGAAAACACACCUUUUAAGAUACAGAUGAUGGCUAAUAAUAGUAAAAAAACAAUAAUAAUAAUAUUAAUAAUAAUGAUUGUUUUGCACACGUGAGGAGAAUUUGUGUCGCACUUUGUCUGGUUGUGUUUGAAAAAGGAUAUCUAGAGACUUCCUGUUAGAUUUUUGAAUGUUGCAUAGAGAUUUGUGUGCUGCAUUUUGCAAAAAGUGUUUUAUUAAAUUGAAAACUAAGUGAAAGGUUGAGAAUUUUGAAGAUUUGCUGUGUUCCGCUGAUUGAUUGCUAGGUUUUUGAAAUUGUGUGACAAAGAUUUUGUAUGCAAGUAGUUAAAAAAAAUUUUAUGUUUAAUAUUAAUUGUUGUAGUAGUUGUAGCAGUAGUAGUAAUCAUCAUCUCAGCAUUUAGCAGCCAUAUUUUCAGUCAAAGAAGUAUCUCACACUUACAGUUUAUUUUCAUCCUUUUUAAUAUUAAAUUCCUGCCAUCUCCCAGAGAGUAAUGAAUUAAGAUAUCUUAUAUGUCCAGGAUAUACUGUGGAUAUCUCUGUGGAAUCGCACCUUUAUUACAGCUGGCUGGAUGAAAUCUUCAUUCAGCUCCCUUCAUUCACUUAGCUGCCAUUCUUACAGUCCUAUAAAAUAAUUAUAUCCUAGAAUUACAGGUUUUUAAUCUAAGGCAUAUGCAAUUACUCAUAGAGAUAAGUUGUCUUAAUAUGAUCUGUCUGCUUUGAAUAACUCGGUUUAUGCGUUUUAUCCUGCUGACGUGUGUGUGUAAGGCCUUAGCUAAAGGAAGUAAAGCACUCGAUCACAGAGGUGUGUGUCCUGAGUAUAGUUUUUUUGGACCCAGGUCUCCUUUAAACUCACCUCAGCCUUUACCUCCCCCUGAGCAAAACACACACAGCUCCUUGCAUUAAGUGUAUACGCACAGACACACGUACACAGGUUUGUGUAUGAUCCUAGGUCAAACCUUGCCUGGACUACAGUCAAUCAUAACAUUUCUCUCUCUGAAAAAAAAAAGCAUUUCAUCUCAAUCAUUCAGAAGUGAAGUGUGCAGAUUAUUAUUUUCUAUACCUCGUAAGAUGACUGAUCGUGGAGAAAAAGCUGAAUGAGAAAUAAUUACCUGAAUUCUCAUAGUGUAAUUUUCUGUAAUCGUCAAUAAUACGAGAUCUCAAGAGAGCCCUAUUGCUAGGCUAGACUAAAUAAUUGUGAUUUGAUUUCAAUGUCACUUCCUGUAGAUAUAGAUCUUUCUCUUUAAGAGCCGGGUACCUGACAAAAAGCUUAAAGCUUAAUUUGCAUAAUGAAGUUUGACAGGAAAAUGAUUUAAUUACAGAAUUUUUGAACUGCUUCCCUCAAUCUCCCUCGCUCUCAUUCAUAAUCAGAUUUAUACACACACAUACACAAACAAUUAACAGAUGGUAUCACAGACAAAAUUGUAAACGUACUCCUGUUAACCUCUACCAACCUUUCUGCUGUUCUAAAGCUGCCACUGUAUAUUUAUAUUUUUCCCAUGUCAUUUUUUUUUGAUGCUGGAUUUCUGUGUAUGCAGGAUACAAAAUUAACUGUCACUAGCUCCAAAUGCCAGAACAUUGGCUAUGGGUGAGCAAAUAAACAUAGGAACUGCAAAAUUGCAUGGUUUAAACUCAACUGUGACAAUGAUAGUCUGAAUGUUGUUGAUGGAAGUUAUGCAAGUUACAAAUCUUUUGCAUUUUCUAACCAUUUUAGAAGACAAAUUACCAUAAGAUUUUGCUUUAAAAAUAAACAUUUCAUGCAAAAUAUCUUAUUUUAUACUUAUAUGUGAAUAACAAAAAAUGGAAAAUUCAAUCCAUUUUCAUUUGCAGGUGUGGCCAAAACUGUGUAUAUUGUGAGCGUAGACUGAAAACUCUAAGAUGGAGAUCAAAAGAGUUGGAGAAAAGAAACAAGGAGCAAACGGGGUGAGUGGAGGUGUGGAGGGGUGUAGAGGGGAGGGCACGGGGGCAGAGCAGUCAUCAG